rnacentral:rRNA from 1 species
AACGAACGCUGGCGGCAGGCUUAACACAUGCAAGUCGAACGCAUCGCAAGAUGAGUGGCAGACGGGUGAGUAACGCGUGGGAACAUACCCUUUUCUACGGAAUAGCUCUGGGAAACUGGAAUUAAUACCGUAUACGCCCUGCGGGGGAAAGAUUUAUCGGGGAAGGAUUGGCCCGCGUUGGAUUAGCUAGUUGGUGGGGUAAAGGCCUACCAAGGCGACGAUCCAUAGCUGGUCUGAGAGGAUGAUCAGCCACAUUGGGACUGAGACACGGCCCAAACUCCUACGGGAGGCAGCAGUGGGGAAUAUUGGAAAAUGGGCGCAUGCCUGAUCCUGCCAUGCCGCGUGAGUGAUGAAGGCCUUAGGGUUGUAAAGCUCUUUCACCGAUGAAGAUAAUGACGGUAGUCGGAGAAGAAGCCCCGGCUAACUUCGUGCCAGCCGCCGCCGUAAGAC